rnacentral:sRNA from 1 species
AGCGAUUAUAUAUAUAUAUACCAAUAAUAUAGUGCAACACAUUUACAUAAAUAAUAAGCAUACAAUUUAAAUGCUAGUGCAAUCCAAAUUCAAUGGCACUUUCGUAAAAGUAGCUUUUUACGUAAAAAGACACAUAAAAAAACGGCGCGUGUGAAAAUUUUCAACAACGACGUAGCAGCAGUCAGCAGAGGCAGUCUCAGUCUGUCUCGCCUCUACGUUUCUUUGCUGCAAAAGGAGAAGCUGAGCAACAACACAACUACAACAAAAUUCCCCACACACAAAGUCUAUCGCUCCCUCUACCCCCCUCUCUCUCUCUCUCUCGCUCUCUCUUUCUUUCUAUUAUUCUCAGUAGCGGUGCAUAAGUGAAGCAAAUGUACACGAAGAGGCAAACGCUGGCGACGCGCCGCGACGUCGGCUCUGCAGGACAGGUUUAUCAGGGCAAAAAUUUCACAAAAAGAUACUGAGCCGUAUAUAUACGUGUAUGUGCUCCCCUGUAUUUUGCAAAGUGCGUCUUUGUGUAUGUGUGUGUGUGUAUCAACAAUGUGUGCAACAAUAACAAAAACAACAGCAACAACAACAACGACUAACAUAGCAGCACGAGAAAGCAAAGUGAAAUUUAUUAAAGCAACAACAACAACAACACGCAAUACCAAUUCGAAACCGUUAUUCAACAAUUUCUUGAAAUAAGUGAAAGAAGGCAAAUACUGGUUUUUAUAUACAUAUACACACACAUGUAUGUAUGUGCAUGUAUAUUUUAAUGUUGAAAGAAACAACAACAACAACAACAGCAACAACUAAAAAGUUGCUGUGCGAGAAAUUUGUACGUGUAUUACCAGCGUGUGUGUGUGUGUGAGUGUGUGUGUAUGCGUGGUGUCUUCAGACUGUGUGUGAGACAAAUAGUAAAACAACAAAGUGAAAAGCAAUGCUAAAAGGAAUUAAAACAACAACAGCAACAACAACCCCAUUAACGGUACCAAACAAUUACACAAAACGUGAACGCAACGUGAAAUAACAGUAAAAGUCUUUUCAAAAAAGCUACAGAGAGCGCAACAAAAGCAACACGCGUGGGUGUCAACGUCACACGCACACACGCUCAACCAACAGCAGCAGCGCCAGCGGCAGCGCAGCAGCAGCAGCCAAGGGGUGGCUGCAGGGAACAAAGGCAGCGUCCGGCUCUGCCACUCAGCUUUACAAUUGAGCAUAUUUUCAAGGGCUCCAACAAGCGCGCGCUGCGUUUCAAUUUAAAUUAUUGGAGUUACAAUGGACCCGAACAGGCAUAACGAAUAUCAAACGCAUCAUCAUCAAACUUCCCACCCACUGCAACACCUGCAGCAUCAGCAUGUGCAUGCGUAUCCACAACAUGCGGUGCAUAACCACAUACACCACCAACAACAA